rnacentral:rRNA from 1 species
GACGAACGCUGGCGGCGUGCCUAAUACAUGCAAGUCGAACGCAGUGGGGACGGGUGAGUAACACGUGGGUAACCUCCCAUCAGAGGGGAUAACACUUGGAAACAGGUGCUAAACCGAUACUGAUGGAUGGACCCGCGGUGCAUUAGCUAAUUGGUGAGGUAACGGCGCACCAAGGCAACGAUUCAUAGCCGCCCGUAGAGGGUGGUCGGCCACACUGGGACUGAGACACGGCCCAGACUCCUACGGGAGGCAGCAGUAGGGAAUCUUGGGCAAUGGACGAAAGUCUGACCGAGCAACGCCGCGUGAGUGAAGAAGGUUUUCGGGUCGUAAAACUCUGUUGUUAGAGAAGCGUUAUCCAACGAGAAAGCCACGGCUAACUACGUGCCAGCAGCCGCGGUAAUUC